rnacentral:rRNA from 1 species
CACAUGCAGUCGAGCGGUAGCACAGAGAGCUUGCUCUCGGGUGACGAGCGGCGGACGGGUGAGUAAUGUCUGGGAAACUGCCUGAUGGAGGGGGAUAACUACUGGAAACGGUAGCUAAUACCGCAUAACGUCGCAAGACCAAAGUGGGGGACCUUCGGGCCUCAUGCCAUCAGAUGUGCCCAGAUGGGAUUAGCUGGUAGGUGGGGUAACGGCUCACCUAGGCGACGAUCCCUAGCUGGUCUGAGAGGAUGACCAGCCACACUGGAACUGAGACACGGUCCAGACUCCUACGGGAGGCAGCAGUGGGGAAUAUUGCACAAUGGGCGCAAGCCUGAUGCAGCCAUGCCGCGUGUGUGAAGAAGGCCUUCGGGUUGUAAAGCACUUUCAGCGGGGAGGAAGGCGGUGAGGUUAAUAACCUCAUCGAUUGACGUUACCCGCAGAAGAAGCACCGGCUAACUCCGUGCCAGCAGCCGCGGUAAUACGGAGGGUGCAAGCGUUAAUCGGAAUUACUGGGCGUAAAGCGCACGCAGGCGGUCUGUCAAGUCGGAUGUGAAAUCCCCGGGCUCAACCUGGGAACUGCAUUCGAAACUGGCAGGCUAGAGUCUUGUAGAGGGGGGUAGAAUUCCAGGUGUAGCGGUGAAAUGCGUAGAGAUCUGGAGGAAUACCGGUGGCGAAGGCGGCCCCCUGGACAAAGACUGACGCUCAGGUGCGAAAGCGUGGGGAGCAAACAGGAUUAGAUACCCUGGUAGUCCACGCUGUAAACGAUGUCGAUUUGGAGGUUGUGCCCUUGAGGCGUGGCUUCCGGAGCUAACGCGUUAAAUCGACCGCCUGGGGAGUACGGCCGCAAGGUUAAAACUCAAAUGAAUUGACGGGGGCCCGCACAAGCGGUGGAGCAUGUGGUUUAAUUCGAUGCAACGCGAAGAACCUUACCUGGUCUUGACAUCCACAGAACUUNNCAGAGAUGNNUUGGUGCCUUCGGGAACUGUGAGACAGGUGCUGCAUGGCUGUCGUCAGCUCGUGUUGUGAAAUGUUGGGUUAAGUCCCGCAACGAGCGCAACCCUUAUCCUUUGUUGCCAGCGGUUAGGCCGGGAACUCAAAGGAGACUGCCAGUGAUAAACUGGAGGAAGGUGGGGAUGACGUCAAGUCAUCAUGGCCCUUACGACCAGGGCUACACACGUGCUACAAUGGCAUAUACAAAGAGAAGCGACCUCGCGAGAGCAAGCGGACCUCAUAAAGUAUGUCGUAGUCCGGAUUGGAGUCUGCAACUCGACUCCAUGAAGUCGGAAUCGCUAGUAAUCGUAGAUCAGAAUGCUACGGUGAAUACGUUCCCGGGCCUUGUACACACCGCCCGUCACACCAUGGGAGUGGGUUGCAAAAGAAGUAGGUAGCUUAACCUUCGGGAGGGCGCUUACCACUUUGUGAUUCAUGACUGGGGUGAAGUCGUAACAAGA